rnacentral:rRNA from 1 species
UGAGGAAUCUUGGGCAAUGGGCGAAAGCCUGACCCAGCGAUGCCGCGUGAGUGAAGAAGGCCUUAGGGUUGUAAAGCUCUUUUAGUAGGGAAGAUAAUGACGGUACCUACAGAAAAAGCCCCGGCAAACUCCGUGCCAGCAGCCGCGGUAAGACGGAGGGGGCGAGCGUUGUUCGGAAUUACUGGGCGUAAAGGGCACGUAGGUGGUCAGAUAAGUCAGAAGUGAAAGCCCUGGGCUUAACCUAGGAACAGCUUUUGAAACUGUUGGGCUAGAGUACUGGAGGGGGUAAUGGAAUUCCUAGUGUAGAAGUGAAAUUCUUAGAGAUUAGGAGGAACGUCAGAGGCGAAGGCGAUUACCUGGACAGAUACUGACACUGAGGUGCGAAAGCGUGGGGAGCAAACAGG